rnacentral:rRNA from 1 species
CCUACGGGAGGCAGCAGUGGGGAAUAUUGGGCAAUGGGCGCAAGCCUGACCCAGCAACGCCGCGUGAGUGAAGAAGUAAUUCGUUAUGUAAAGCUCUAUCAGCAGGGAAGAAAAUGACGGUACCUGAGUACGAAGCCCCGGCUAACUACGUGCCAGCAGCCGCGGUAAUACGUAGGGGGCAAGCGUUAUCCGGAUUUACUGGGUGUAAAGGGAGCGUAGACGGCAGUGCAAGUCUGGAGUGAAAGGCGGGGGCUCAACCCCCGGACUGCUCUGGAAACUGUACGGCUGGAGUGCAGGAGAGGUAAGUGGAAUUCCUAGUGUAGCGGUGAAAUGCGUAGAUAUUAGGAGGAACACCAGUGGCGAAGGCGGCUUACUGGACUGUAACUGACGUUGAGGCUCGAAAGCGUGGGGAGCAAACAGGAUUAGAUACCCCAGUAGUC